GAUGAACACUAGCUACAGGCUUAACACAUGCAAGUCGAGGGGAAACGACAUCGAAAGCUUGCUUUUGAUGGGCGUCGACCGGCGCACGGGUGAGUAACGCGUAUCCAACCUGCCCACCACUUGGGGAUAACCUUGCGAAAGUAAGACUAAUACCCAAUGAUAUCUCUAGAAGACAUCUGAAAGAGAUUAAAGAUUUAUCGGUGAUGGAUGGGGAUGCGUCUGAUUAGCUUGUUGGCGGGGUAACGGGCCACCAAGGCUACGAUCAGUAGGGGUUCUGAGAGGAAGGUCCCCCACAUUGGAACUGAGACACGGUCCAAACUCCUACGGGAGGCAGCAGUGAGGAAUAUUGGUCAAUGGGCGAGAGCCUGAACCAGCCAAGUAGCGUGCAGGAUGACGGCCCUAUGGGUUGCAAACUGCUUUUAUAAGGGAAUAAAGUGAGCCUCGUGAGGCUUUUUGCAUGUACCUUAUGAAUAAGGACCGGCUAAUUCCGUGCCAGCCGCCGCAGUAA
rnacentral:rRNA from 1 species